rnacentral:misc_RNA from 1 species
GAUCAAUAGAGGUCGAAUUAGGAUAAGAUGUCAAAGGAGGUGCUUCAGAGUAGGUUGAAAGGCCAGACCUCGCUGCACUUCCUGCUCUAUCUACUGAGGCGGCGUAUCUGGUAUAAGCAUCGUCUCCCAUGGCUUGGCCGCCUGCUCCGCUUCGGCUGCAACCGCAACCCUCCCCCGGCCUCGUCUCUUCUCCACUUCUCCCACGCCUAGCGUUG